GACGAACGCUGGCGGCGUGGUUAACACAUGCAAGUCGAACGGAAAGGCCCUGCUUUUGUGGGGUGCUCGAGUGGCGAACGGGUGAGUAACACGUGAGUAACCUGCCCUUGACUUUGGGAUAACUUCAGGAAACUGGGGCUAAUACCGGAUAGGAGCUCCUGCUGCAUGGUGGGGGUUGGAAAGUUUCGGCGGUUGGGGAUGGACUCGCGGCUUAUCAGCUUGUUGAUGGGGUAGUGGCUUACCAAGGCUUUGACGGGUAGCCGGCCUGAGAGGGUGACCGGCCACAUUGGGACUGAGAUACGGCCCAGACUCCUACGGGAGGCAGCAGUGGGGAAUAUUGCACAAUGGGCGGAAGCCUGAUGCAGCAACGCCGCGUGCGGGAUGACGGCCUUCGGGUUGUAAACCGCUUUCGCCUGUGACGAAGCGUGAGUGACGGUAAUGGGUAAAGAAGCACCGGCUAACUACGUG
rnacentral:rRNA from 1 species